CCAUGCUGCGGACCGUCUCCCCGCCAUUUAAUGCUCCACGUGGUUCUGUUGCCUGUUUUGUCGAGUUGAGACCUGUACCCACCUCGGGAGUCAUAGGAAGGACUUCGGGGGGACCCAGGAAUACUAGAAAUGUCCCUGGUGGCUGUGCCGCAGCCUCUGUCGCGCUGUGACCUGCACUGGCCGUGGGGGUCGUAGGAAGGACUCAGGUGACCCAGGAGCCCUAGAAAUGGACUCAACCUGCAGAGUUCCAGGCCCAAUUCCUGUGGGAAAUGGUGAUCUCAGCCAGAUCCUCUGCAGUCGCUGUCCCCCUCUGUUCACGUGGCUCCCAGACUGCAACGGCACCACAGCAAGGGAAGUGGCUGGAAACUGCAGAGAUUUCCGCCUUUCCUGAAGUGCGCAGGCACAGGUGACACCCCCGCCCUUGUUGGAGGCCAGGCCAACUGUUUCUUGAAGGGAGGAGGCAGAAAUGAGGUAAGCUAUGUCCCAAAGUACUCUUGCAACAACUUGCAGUGCUUUCCUGGGUCACCAGGGUGAUGUUGCUGUGGCUGGAGUCUUGGAGUCUGAAGUCCUGAGGCCUCCAGACCCCAUCAGUGAACAUUCCAAAGCAGGGCAGUGAUCAGGGCCUGAGUGAGGACAGACGUCAGGGUUGACCCCUGCAACAUCUGCAUGCAGGUGAGACCUCAGGGGUGAUGGGUCCCAGACCAUGGAGACCACAGCAGAGGACAGGGCAGCUGGAGGAGGACGCACAGAGCUUUGUUGCCGGCACUGAGCUUCCACUGGGAGAGCAAAAUGUUUUGACUUCUCAGGGGGGCCUCUCAGACACAGGGAGACCCUGCCCCUCCCAGGGGCACCUCAUUCCACGUUGGCGGUGGACGGCUUGUCUGGAGCAGGCCUCUCAUGUGCAUCCCGCCCGAUCCAGUGCCCUGUCCCUACAGACCUCCUUAUCUGCCUCUCACACGCCAGACGGUAUUCCCCACCCUAAACCCACCCAGGGCCAGGAACCAGAUGACUGAGGACCGUCCCUAGGCCCCAGAGGCUGCUGGGAUUGUUCAAAGCAGCUGGUCCUGAGCUGCUCACUCUGCCCUGACUCACAUUUCCUGUGGGACCCAAAUGAAGGCUGUGGCCUAGGUUUGUGUCCCCCUCCUGAUUCUGCCUCCUGAGCAGCCCUGAUGCAGCCCCUGUGACCUGCCUGGCAUGGCAUCCCCCUUGUCUUGGGAAAUGUAAUA